GUAGCAAGCUGGGAGGAAAACCUG
rnacentral:piRNA from 1 species